GCUCAGGACGAACGCUGGCGGCGUGCUUAACACAUGCAAGUCGAACGAUGAUGCCCAGCUUGCUGGGCGGAUUAGUGGCGAACGGGUGAGUAAUACGUGAGUAACCUGCCCUUGACUCUGGGAUAAGCCUGGGAAACUGGGUCUAAUACUGGAUACUACCUCUUGCCGCAUGGUGGGUGGUGGAAAGGGUUUUACUGGUUUUGGAUGGGCUCACGGCCUAUCAGCUUGUUGGUGGGGUAAUGGCUCACCAAGGCGACGACGGGUAGCCGGCCUGAGAGGGUGACCGGCCACACUGGGACUGAGACACGGCCCAGACUCCUACGGGAGGCAGCAGUGGGGAAUAUUGCACAAUGGGCGGAAGCCUGAUGCAGCGACGCCGCGUGAGGGAUGACGGCCUUCGGGUUGUAAACCUCUUUCAGUAGGGAAGAAGCGAGAGUGACGGUACCUGCAGAAGAAGCGCCGGCUAACUACGUGCCAGCAGCCGCGGUAAUACGUAGGGCGCAAGCGUUGUCCGGAAUUAUUGGGCGUAAAGAGCUCGUAGGCGGUUUGUCGCGUCUGCUGUGAAAGCCCGGGGCUCAACCCCGGGUCUGCAGUGGGUACGGGCAGACUAGAGUGCAGUAGGGGAGACUGGAAUUCCUGGUGUAGCGGUGAAAUGCGCAGAUAUCAGGAGGAACACCGAUGGCGAAGGCAGGUCUCUGGGCUGUUACUGACGCUGAGGAGCGAAAGCAUGGGGAGCGAACAGGAUUAGAUACCCUGGUAGUCCAUGCCGUAAACGUUGGGCACUAGGUGUGGGGGACAUUCCACGUUUUCCGCGCCGUAGCUAACGCAUUAAGUGCCCCGCCUGGGGAGUACGGCCGCAAGGCUAAAACUCAAAGGAAUUGACGGGGGCCCGCACAAGCGGCGGAGCAUGCGGAUUAAUUCGAUGCAACGCGAAGAACCUUACCAAGGCUUGACAUUCACCGGACCGCCCCAGAGAUGGGGUUUCCCUUCGGGGCUGGUGGACAGGUGGUGCAUGGUUGUCGUCAGCUCGUGUCGUGAGAUGUUGGGUUAAGUCCCGCAACGAGCGCAACCCUCGUUCUAUGUUGCCAGCACGUGAUGGUGGGGACUCAUAGGAGACUGCCGGGGUCAACUCGGAGGAAGGUGGGGAUGACGUCAAAUCAUCAUGCCCCUUAUGUCUUGGGCUUCACGCAUGCUACAAUGGCCGGUACAAAGGGUUGCGAUACUGUGAGGUGGAGCUAAUCCCAAAAAGCCGGUCUCAGUUCGGAUUGAGGUCUGCAACUCGACCUCAUGAAGUCGGAGUCGCUAGUAAUCGCANAUCANCAACGCUGCGGUGAAUACNUUCCCGGGCCUUGUACACACCGCCCGUCAAGUCACGAAAGUUGGUAACACCCGAAGCCGGUGGCCUAACCCCUUGUGGNANGGANCCNUCNAANGUGGGACUGGCNAUUGGGACUAA
rnacentral:rRNA from 1 species